rnacentral:rRNA from 1 species
CCUACGGGAGGCAGCAGUAGGGAAUAUUGGACAAUGGACGCAAGUCUGAUCCAGCCAUCCCGCGUGAAGGAUUAAGGCCCUAUGGGUUGUAAACUUCUUUUCUUUGGGAAUAAAAAGCGGUAUUCAUAUCGCCUUGAAGGUACCAGAGGAAUAAGCACCGGCUAACUCCGUGCCAGCAGCCGCGGUAAUACGGAGGGUGCAAGCGUUAUCCGGAUUCACUGGGUUUAAAGGGUGCGUAGGUGGCUUUGUAAGUCAGCGGUGAAAGCCUGGAGCUCAACUCCAGAAUUGCCAUUGAUACUGCAGAGCUUGAAUCAAGUUGAGGUGGAUGGAAUAUUACAUGUAGCGGUGAAAUGCUUAGAUAUGUAAUAGAACACCGAUUGCGAAGGCAGUUCACUAAGCUUGUAUUGACACUGAGGCACGAAAGCGUGGGGAUCAAACAGGAUUAGAUACCCUGGUAGUCCACGCCCUAAACGAUGCAAACUCGACAUUAGCGAUAUACAGUUAGUGUCCAAGCGAAAGCGUUAAGUUUGCCACCUGGGAAGUACGACCGCAAGGUUGAACUUAAAGGAAAUUGACGGNUGAGAGNGCGAGACGACGACGAGGGAGGAGG